GUGGGGAAUUUUGGACAAUGGGCGCAAGCCUGAUCCAGCAAUGCCGCGUGCAGGAAGAAGGCCUUCGGGUUGUAAACUGCUUUUGUACGGAACGAAACGGUCCUGGCUAAUACCCGGGGCUAAUGACGGUACCGUAAGAAUAAGCACCGGCUAACUACGUGCCAGCAGCCGCGGUAAUACGUAGGGUGCGAGCGUUAAUCGGAAUUACUGGGCGUAAAGCGUGCGCAGGCGGUGCUGUAAGACAGGCGUGAAAUCCCCGGGCUCAACCUGGGAAUUGCGCUUGUGACUGCAGUGCUGGAGUGCGGCAGAGGGGGAUGGAAUUCCGCGUGUAGCAGUGAAAUGCGUAGAUAUGCGGAGGAACACCGAUGGCGAAGGCAAUCCCCUGGGCCUGCACUGACGCUCAUGCACGAAAGCGUGGGGAGCAAACAGGAUUAGAAACCCUGGUAGUCC
rnacentral:rRNA from 1 species